CUCCAGGUCAAGCAGCCUCAAUUCUUCAACAGAUAAACUGCAAGGGAAAGAAAGAGAUAUAAAGGAAAACUCUGAAUUAUAAGAGGCUUACAAGACAUAUCAAAAUUUUUUUUUAAAUGGGCAAAACUAUACUGUCUAGGGACACACACUUGGAUGUUUAAACCAUUAAGAAAUGCAAGGAUAUAAUUACUAUUAGAGUCAGAGAAGAAAACUGAGACUCAGAAAGGUUUUCGUGGCCACACAGAACGUGAUGGAGCAGCCUGAUUUUGAACCCAGGCAGCCCGGCUCCCCCGUGGCUCUCGUCCACUUGACAGGGGCUCCGGGGACAGCACAGGACCCGAUGACAUCCACCAUGGGAAGAUGCUGAUCAGUCUGGCGGGACGCCAGCCCACCACUUUCAGAACUGCUCAGUGUGAAUUUCUAACUUCAUCACAAUCAAGGCAAAUCACAGAGCGAUUUGGCGAAGGUAAUUGGCUUGGUCAUCACAAGAAAUCGAGGAGCGUCCAUUUCCAAGGCCCUGUUCCCCUUUGUCCACCCUCAGGAGAGCCGUGUGGGUUCUGGAAGCUACUGAGAGCCACCCAGAGAAGAGGUUGUCUCAGUGGAGGAAUUACAGGGUCUGUGCUUGCCCUCCAACCCUCUUUGAGUCUAUAGGAUUGUAUGUUUUAAGACCACGACUCAGGUAGUGAAAAUAAAAAUUUUUCAAACGUG